UCUCUGAUUUAUGCUGUUCUACAGAUCACUUUCAAAUAGUUUUUAAUUCAUUAACUCAAACAAAGGUUUUCCUUCUUAUUUGCAUCACCGGAAGAGUUAAGUAUAUAUUCUUUAAUAUUUUGCAAAAAUUAUAUCGAAACAAACAAUUUGGAAUAAACAUAACUAAGUAAAUACUUUAACACGUUAUAUUUAAUUAAAUAUUUCAUUAGAUUCGCUUAG
rnacentral:misc_RNA from 1 species